GCUGUUAACCGCCGAUAUUCAAAAGACGAAGAAGCAGCACCGGUCGUCGUCAGUUGGUUGCUGUCUCCCGUGAGCGUAACAUCGUUGGAGUAACUGGUCAGUUUCAACAAGUGAAACCACUCCCAGACUCGACUUGGAACCAAACUGGUCUUUAAGGAAGUGAAGCCACUCAUAGACUGGAGUUAAAUCAGGUACUGGUCCUCCGGCAAGCAGCAUCUGCUUUUUAUAACCAGGGUGUAAUGUCAUUUACAUGCAUGUUUUCGUUACUAUAUGAAUUUUUAGUAAGCAUUAUAUUCUGUAUUUGCUCUGAUUAAUCAAAUUAAACACUGCAUCUUAGUUUA